CAAUUUUAUUAAAAUAUCUAUUCAUAUCUAUCCAUAUUCUUUUAUAAAAUUUUAAUUUCUAACCCUAAUUCCCAAAAUUAACUCAGAACCCUAAUUUCCCCAGUUCCUAACCCUAACAGCCGCAGCCUCACCCUCCUUCAUAACAAAUGCAUACAAAUUGAAGAAAGGGGAAAACAGGGAGAAAGAGGGAAGAGAAGGGAGACGGCGCUGGCUGGGGCCUCGCCGCCGUCACCGUCGCUGUCAAGCGUGAAGGGUGGAGAGGAGAGAGCUUGCAUCCAAGAGAGAAGAGAUGCUGUCUGCCGUCACCGUCGCCGCCCUGGAGCUUGCCGUCGAGCUGCUUCACGGCGCCGUCCCGUCCAUGGACCCACAAGCUUGCGUUACUGCCGAUCCGUUCACAAGCCGUCGUCGAUGGGACAUAAUCGCGAAGAGAGAGAGACACACGAAGAGAAGCCCACGACCAGCCUUGUCGCCGUCAGCGCCGCGGGUUGCCGUCGCCAUCCUCGCGAGCUGCCACCGCAUCGCCGUUACUGAGCUGCAGCACCGCCGUUGUCGCACUCUGCUGCUGCCGCGUCUCGCCAAGCCGCCGCUGGAGGAGGAAGGCCCGCCAGUUUUGUUUCUGCUUAUGGGUUUUGGAAUCUGAGAAAACGCCACUGCCGUUGUUGUUUGUUGGGUUCAAGAUCAUUGCUGCCACUGGAAUCACGAACCGGAAAGGAGAGGAGGCCGUUUUCUGUUGUCGCUGGUGCUGCCAUAGGACGGUUGAAGCCAUUGCUGAUUAUGAUUUUGUUAUCUGGGGCUGAAAAUUGCUUUUGAUUCCUACUCAAUUUAAAUCCUCUAUUUUACUGCAACCAUGGUCAAAGUUGCGAAGGCUGGUAUUGUUGCCGUUCUGGUUGUGUGAGAGUUACCGCUGCUGCCCUGACACUAAAAGAGAAGUUGCUCAAUGUUCCAAAUCCUGCUGUUCUUGACAUUCCUGUUUGUGCAUUGGGGGGUGGAUAUUGGAAUC